rnacentral:rRNA from 1 species
CUGGCAUGAAGGUUGAACAAAGGGUAGUGUCUUAAGGAUAAUCUAGUAAUUUAGAGUUUUAGUGAAAAUGCUGAGAUGAUUUCAAGGGACGAUAAGACCCUAGAAGUUUUAUAAAUAUCUUGUUUGGUGUAAACUAGUAAGGUUUGUUUAGCUGGGGUAGUGAAGGCAGGUUGACUGUGCUAUAAGGUAAGUUUACGGAUUCUUAAGAUAAAGAUUAGUUGAAUUAAUUACUUUAGGGGUAACAGCGCAAUAGCCCUAGGAAGACCUUAUUUACAGGGGUGUUUGCGACCUCGAUGUUGAAUUAAGAUUUCUUUUAGGAGCAGAGUCUGUUGGGAGAAGGUUUGUUCAACCUUUAAUUUUUUACGUGAUUU